AUGAUCACAUACACUACUACAAGUACUUGCAAGCAGCAAGACCAGAACAAAACAAAACAGAGAGGCGGGAGUCAGAUGGAUGAAAAAAAGAAAAAGGAAGAGCAGCUUAAUUGGAGCUGGCCGGCCGGGGUGAUGGAGCUCAGCCGGUGUCUAGUCAGUGGUGAUGUGCACGCCGAUGAUGAUGACGAAGAGCGCGAUGAGGGCGAAGUAGAUGAUGGCGUGGACGAGGAUGGCCAUGGCGCUGGUGUGCAUGUUGCCGAACUCCACGAAGUGGUGCUUCCCGGGCAGCUGCAGCAGCAGCCCCGGCGACAGCAGCACGAACAGCACCACCGCGAUCACCACCGACCCCCAGUCCGACAUCCUCCCUCUCCCUCCCCUUCCUCUUCUCCGGCGCCGGCGGGUUUCUUUCUCGCUUUCUAG
rnacentral:rRNA from 1 species